GGGAGGGGGUGACUAGUGACAGAGUUAGGGAGGGAAGGGGUGACUAGUUACAGAGUGAGGAAGGGGGUGACUAGUGACAGAGGGAGGGGUGACUAGGGACAGAGUGAGGGAGGUGGUGACCUCCUCCUUCACUCUGUCACUGUGUCACCCCCUCCCUCACUCUGUCACUGUGUCACCCCCUUCCUCACUCUGUCACUGUGUCACCCCUUUCCUCACUCUGUCACUAGUCACCCACUCCCUUCCUCACUCUGUCACUAGUCACCCCCUCUCUC